rnacentral:rRNA from 1 species
AUUGAACGCUGGCGGCAGGCCUAACACAUGCAAGUCGAGCGGAUGAGGAAAGCUUGCUUUUCGAUUCAGCGGCGGACGGGUGAGUAAUGCCUAGGAAUCUGCCUGUUAGUGGGGGAUAACUCGGGGAAACUCGGGCUAAUACCGCAUACGUCCUACGGGAGAAAGUGGGGGAUCUUCGGACCUCACGCUAACAGAUGAGCCUAGGUCGGAUUAGCUAGUAGGUGAGGUAAUGGCUCACCUAGGCGACGAUCCGUAACUGGUCUGAGAGGAUGAUCAGUCACACUGGAACUGAGACACGGUCCAGACUCCUACGGGAGGCAGCAGUGGGGAAUAUUGGACAAUGGGCGAAAGCCUGAUCCAGCCAUGCCGCGUGUGUGAAGAAGGUCUUCGGAUUGUAAAGCACUUUAAGUUGGGAGGAAGGGUAUUCACCUAAUACGUGGGUACUUUGACGUUACCAACAGAAUAAGCACCGGCUAACUCUGUGCCAGCCGCCGCCGUAAGAC